rnacentral:lncRNA from 1 species
AGGAUUGAUCACCCUUUAAACUUAGAUCUUAGGAUUAAUUGAGAACAUGCCAUUGCUUGACUCAAUACCUGAAAAUAAACUAGCAUGAUCUAACUGACUAGAUACACAAGAGAGUUGGUCUAGUAAGUUAGAGAAUACUAAUCAAACCCGUCCGUAAAACUUUCUGGAAGAAGCAUCGACACAACAACAGUUCUGUCGAUCGAUAUUUUGAAAGGUGUAUCGAUCGAUAUUCUUUACGAAUCAUCGAUCGACACUUUCUCGUGAUUAACAUACGAGAGUUUAAAUCCGAGAUCCAAAUUAGAUAAUCUAAUUGAUUAUACCUAAGUUUGAGUUCGAAAACAAUUAAUAUCAAUAAACCCC